UAAUGGAAAUAAAAGCAGGAAUGGAAAC
rnacentral:piRNA from 1 species